rnacentral:rRNA from 1 species
UACGGAGGUGGCAAGCGUUGUUCGGAAUCACUGGGCGUAAAGCGCACGUAGGCGGAUUGUUAAGUCAGGGGUGAAAUCCUGGAGCUCAACUCCAGAACUGCCUUUGAUACUGGCGAUCUUGAGUUCGGGAGAGGUGAGUGGAACUGCGAGUGUAGAGGUGAAAUUCGUAGAUAUUCGCAAGAACACCAGUGGCGAAGGCGGCUCACUGGCCCGAUACUGACGCUGAGGCACGAAAGCGUGGGGAGCAAACAGG